UACGGGGGGAGCAAGCGUUGUUCGGAUUUACUGGGCGUAAAGGGCGCGUAGGCGGUCGUGACAAGUCACUUGUGAAAUCCCCGGGCUUAACCUGGGAAUGGCAUUUGGGACUGCAAGGCUCGAGUGCGGCAGAGGAGACUGGAAUUCCUGGUGUAGCAGUGAAAUGCGUAGAUAUCAGGAGGAACACCGAUGGCGAAGGCAGGUCUCUGGGCUGACACUGACGCUCAUGCACGAAAGCGUGGGGAGCAAACAGG
rnacentral:rRNA from 1 species